rnacentral:rRNA from 1 species
UACAGGGGGGGCAAGCGUUGUUCGGAAUUACUGGGCGUAAAGGGCUCGUAGGUGGCCAACUAAGUCAGACGUGAAAUCCCUCAGCUUAACUGGGGAACUGCGUCUGAUACUGGAUGGCUUGAGUUUGGGAGAGGGAUGCGGAAUUCCAGGUGUAGCGGUGAAAAUGCGUAGAUAUCUGGAGGAACACCGGUGGCGAAGGCGGCAUCCUGGACCAACACUGACACUGAGGAGCGAAAGCCAGGGGAGCAAACGGG